AACGAACGCUGGCGGCGUGGAUAAGACAUGCAAGUCGAACGGGAACUCUUUCCGUAGCAAUACGGAGAGAGUUUUAGUGGCGAACGGGUGCGUAACACGUGGGCAAUCUGCCGAGAAGUGGGGGAUAGCUCGCCGAAAAGGCGAAUUAAUACCGCAUAUGAUCAGGGACGACAUCUUCCCAACAUCAAAGCCGGGGCAACCUGGCGCUUCUUGAUGAGCCCGCGGCCUANCAGCUAGUUGGUGAGGUAACGGCUCACCAAGGCUAUGACGGGUAGCUGGUCUGAGAGGACGACCAGUCACACUGGAACUGAGACACGGUCCAGACUCCUACGGAGGCAGCAGUGGGAAUUUUGCGCAAUGGGGAAACCCUGACGCAGCAAUGCCGCGUGGAGGAUGAAGUCCUUUGGGAUGUAGACUCCUUUCGAUCGGGAA
rnacentral:rRNA from 1 species